AUUGAACGCUGGCGGCAGGCCUAACACAUGCAAGUCGAACGGUAACAGGAAGAAGCUUUCUUAUUUGCUGACGCGUGGAGGACGGGUGAGUAAUGUCUGGGAAACUGCCUGAUGGAGGGGGAUAACUACUGGAAACGGUAGCUAAAACCGCAUAACGUCGCAAGACCAAAGAGGGGGACCUUCGGGCCCCUUGCCAUCGCACGUGCCCAGUUGGGCUUAGCUAGUAGGUGGGGUAACGGCUCACCUAGGCGACGAUCCCUAGCCGGACUGAGAGGAGGACCGGCCACACUGGAACUGAGACACGGUCCAACCUCCUACGGGAGGAAGCAGUGGGGAAUAUUGGACAUUGGGCGAAAGCCUGACGCAGACAUGCCGCGUGUAUGAAGAAGGCCUUCGGUUUUUAAAGUACUUUCAUCGGGGAGGAAGGUAGUAAAGUUAAUACCUUUACUCAUUGACGUUACCCGCAGAAGAAGCACCGGCUAACUCCGUG
rnacentral:rRNA from 1 species